UCUAAAAUGGAGACGACUGUUCACUGAGCAUGGGGUGACGUAUACUGGCUGUAACUGAUUUUAAAAUGUCCUAUGAGAGCCGUGAUUUCCUUUUGGGCUUUUAUCAGCCUGUACCGUGAGGAGGAGUGUCUGUGGCUGAUGUCCUCACCAGACUACAGCAACAAACAGAAGAGGGAGGCUGCUUAUAACCGCCUGGUGGAGUACUUGAAGCCCACCUACUUUGCUGCCUCGGUGGCCUGGGUCUGGAAGAAAAUUGCCAAUAUACGGACAGUCUUUGUAAAAGAGAACCACAAGGUGGAGGAGUCCAAGAGGUCAGGGGCCGGUGCAGACAAGGUGUAUGUGCCACAGCUGUGGUAGUACAAAGAACUAAACUUCCUCCUGGAGAAACAGUCAGCUAAGGAGUCCCUGGUGGUGAUGGCAGAGUCCGAGGAGGGAAGUCUCGAUGUGGUGGAGGCCGAAGGGACACCUGAAGACCUCAGCCGUACCCCUAACCUCAACAAAACAUCAUCAGAGGAACAGAAAUCUCCACAGUUACAGAGUUACAGGGUUCCAGGAGGAAGCCACGGAAAACUAAAUUUGUGGAAGGCCCGCUACUGGCCUGUUCACAGCUGCUCUGGAAACCUGAUGAAUAUGAUGACUUUGCGUCAUAUGUUAGCAGAACCAUGCGUAAAGUUUCCGAGCAGCACCAAGUAGAGUGCCAGCACCUGGUGUCACAGGUUUUGUACAAAACACUUACAGGACAGCUGACACCAGAGUGGAACGUUCAUGGGCCAGAACCUCAAGCACCUGCUACUCAUCUCCAUUUGACCUUCAGUUCACCACUCACCUACUCUUCCUUCAGUACCCAUCCUCCUCCGCAUCCCCCAUCCACCUACCCCUCCUCCACUUUCCAUCCUCCUCAUCAAACCAGCCACCCUUCCUGUUAUCGUCAACCCCCACCUCCAUCCACCCACCCUUCCCCCACGAUCCAAUCUCCUCAAACCAGCUACCCUUUCCAAGUCAACCACACAUCCACCAUCCCCUCUGCAAUUUUGACCUCCUUGAUGUCACAGGGGGGACAAGAGGAGGCGGAGGAGACAAGUCUCUUUCAAAUGUAGGGUAAUUCUCAUUUACUGCUGCCCUUGUUAUACAUACCAACAGAUGUGGUGCAUUCUGAUACUACGGUGAGUGUCAACGCUUUCAGGCGGACAAUGCACACAUGCUGCUAGGGACAGAUUGAUGCUACCGGGGAUCCAUCUUCCUGCCCCUAGCUGCAUGCGUGCAUUGCACCCCUGGCACCGGUGACACUCAACACCGUAGUAUCAGAAUGCACCACAUCUGUUAGUAUAUAUAAAAUUCCUGCUGCCCUGGUAUAUACUGCGAUAGAUCUGGUGCACUAUGAUAUUCGGUGUUUUAGUCGCUUUCAGGUGGACAAUGCACACAUGCAGCUUGGGUCAGGUUGAUGGUGCCGGGGAGCCUGAAGCCGGGCCUACCUGCAUGUGUGCAUUGUGCCCCUGAAACGCUGCCACUCAAAAAAACACUGUAUAUCACACUGCGCCAUAUUUAUAUACUAAAUUAAAAUUUGAAGAAACAUUAAUAUAAAGUUCUAGUGUUUGAAAAAGUUCUGCCAUGUUGGCCGCAUAUUUAUAAAAAUACUUAUGUUUUGAUAUAUAUCUACACAAUUUUUUUUUGGUUCACAAGUGUAUUCAUGCACUUAUAUAUUGCAGCAGAUGUGGUGCAUU